CUUGAGAGGAGCUGUUCCUAGUACGAGAGGACCGGAAUGGACGAACCAAUGGUGUGUCGGUUGUUUUGCCAAAAGCAUAGCCGAGUAGCUACGUUCGGAAAGGAUAAGCAUUGAAAGCAUCUAAAUGCCAAGCCUCCCUUAAGAUAAGGUAUCCCUAUGAGACUCCAUGUAGACUACGUGGUUGAUAGGUUGGGUGUGUACGCACAGUAAUGUGUUUAGCUAACCAAUACUAAUAAGUCCAUUGACUUGGUUUU
rfam:Chlamydia psittaci 10_743_SC13 genomic scaffold CP_10_743_SC13.contig.3, whole genome shotgun sequence.